rnacentral:rRNA from 1 species
UACAGAGGGGGCAAGCGUUGUUCGGAAUUACUGGGCGUAAAGGGCGCGUAGGCGGCCUUCUAAGUCGAACGUGAAAUCCCCGGGCUCAACCCGGGAACUGCGUCCGAUACUGGAAGGCUUGAAUCCGGGAGAGGGAUGCGGAAUUCCAGGUGUAGCGGUGAAAUGCGUAGAUAUCUGGAGGAAUACCGGUGGCGAAGGCGGCAUCCUGGACCGGCAUUGACGCUGAUGAGCGAAAGCUAGGGGAGCAAACGGG